CCUACGGGAGGCAGCAGUGAGGAAUAUUGGUCAAUGGACGGAAGGCUGAACCAGCCAAGUAGCGUGAGGGAAGACUGCCCUAUGGGUUGUAAACCUCUUUUAUGCGGGGAACAAGGUGUCCACGUGUGGCUGUUUGCAGGUACCGCAUGCAUCAGGACCGGCUAAUUCCGUGCCAGCAGCCGCGGUAAUACGGAAGGUCCGGGCGUUAUCCGGAUUUAUUGGGUUUAAAGGUAGCGUAGGCCGGUCUUUAAGCGUGCCGUGAAAUUUUGUGGCUCAACCAUGGGAGUGCGGCGCGAACUGGAGACCUUGAGUGCGCGUGAGGCAGGCGGAAUUCGUGGUGUAGCGGUGAAAUGCGUAGAUAUCACGAAGAACCCCGAUUGCGAAGGCAGCCUGCCGCAGCGUUACUGACGCUGAAGCUCGAAAGCGCGGGUAUCGAACAGGAUUAGAUACCCCAGUAGUC
rnacentral:rRNA from 1 species